rnacentral:rRNA from 1 species
AAUAGAUACCCGGGUAGUCCACGCCGUAAACGAUGAGUGCUAAGUGUUAGAGGGUUUCCGCCCUUUAGUGCUGCAGCUAACGCAUUAAGCACUCCGCCUGGGGAGUACGGUCGCAAGACUGAAACUCAAAGGAAUUGACGGGGGCCCGCACAAGCGGUGGAGCAUGUGGUUUAAUUCGAAGCAACGCGAAGAACCUUACCAGGUCUUGACAUCCUCUGACAACUCUAGAGAUAGAGCGUUCCCCUUCGGGGGACAGAGUGACAGGUGGUGCAUGGUUGUCGUCAGCUCGUGUCGUGAGAUGUUGGGUUAAGUCCCGCAACGAGCGCAACCCUUGAUCUUAGUUGCCAGCAUUCAGUUGGGCACUCUAGGGUGACUGCCGGUGACAAACCGGAGGAAGGUGGGGAUGACGUCAAAUCAUCAUGCCCCUUAUGACCUGGGCUACACACGUGCUACAAUGGAUGGUACAAAGGGCUGCAAGACCGCGAGGUCAAGCCAAUCCCAUAAAACCAUUCUCAGUUCGGAUUGU